AUGAUAGCUAAAUUGAAUGAUCAAUCAUCUGAGGAUAUUUUAAGAGUUCAGCUUAAAGCAGAACGCUUGGUAACAAGUUUAUUAAAAGAAAAAAUGUCUGAGGUACAAAAUACAUAUGACAACCUUUCAAUGGUGUCUCAUGAGUUGAAGAAUCUUGAACUUCAGAAAGAUGAGCGCAUGAACUGUCUUCAAAGUAAUUUUGACGAGUCUAGCGGGAAACUAAUAAGCACGAGAGCAGAGUUGCAUAAAGUGUUGUAG